rnacentral:rRNA from 1 species
GACGAACGCUGGCGGCGCGCUUAACACAUGCAAGUCGAGCGAUGAAAUCUUAACAGAACCCUUCGGGGUGAAGAUAAGACGGAUUAGCGGCGGACGGGUGAGUAACACGUGAGUAACCUGCCUUUUACACAGGGAUAGCCUCAGGAAACCGGGAUUAAAACCUGAUGAAACUAUCAAAUCACAUGAUUAAGAAAGUUAAAACUCCGGUGGUAAAAGAUGGACUCGCGUCCCAUUAGCUAGUUGGUGAAGGUAACGGCCCACCAAGGCAACGAUGGGUAGCCGGCCUGAGAGGGUGAACGGCCACAUUGGAACUGAGAAACGGUCCAAACUCCUACGGGAGGCAGCAGUGGGGAAUAUUGCACAAUGGGGGAAACCCUGAUGCAGCGACGCCGCGUGAGCGAAGAAGGCCUUCGGGUCGUAAAGCUCUUUUAUAUGGGAAGAUAAUGACGGUACCAGAAGAAAAAGCCCCGGCUAACUACGUG